rnacentral:rRNA from 1 species
AUUGAACGCUGGCGGCAGGCCUAACACAUGCAAGUCGAGCGAGCGGCGGACGGGUGAGUAAUGUAUGGGGAACUGCCUGAUGGAGGGGGAUAACUACUGGAAACGGUGGCUAAUACCGCAUACCAUCAGAUGUACCCAGAUGGGAUUAGCUAGUAGGUGGGGUAAAGGCUCACCUAGGCGACGAUCCCUAGCUGGUCUGAGAGGAUGAGCAGCCACACUGGAACUGAGACACGGCCCAGACUCCUACGGGAGGCAGCAGUGGGGAAUAUUGCACAAUGGGCGCAAGCCUGAUGCAGCCAUGCCGCUUGUGUGAAGAAGGCCUUCGGGUUGUAAAGCACUUUCAGCGAGGAGGCGUUACUCGCAGAAGAAGCACCGGCUAACCCCGUGCCAGCAGCCGCGGUAAUAC